rnacentral:lncRNA from 1 species
CCGCGGCGGCGCGGCCGCUCUGCCCGUCAACACCACGCUGGCCGAGGUGGUCCGGCUGUACCGCUCGAACGCGGCCAGGGCCGGGGGCAGCUGUCAGAAACACCCGGGCCGGCUGCUGCAGCUGUACUGCCGGAUGUGCCGCCAGGCGGGGUGCGGGCAGUGCGUGUCUGAGGAGCACCAGGGCGUCUUCCACUCCAUCAACCUGAUCGACACCGUGUACCAGGAGGAGCAGUUGAACUUCUUCAGCAGUCUAAAAGAAAUGAGAAUCAUAAACGAGAAGCUGAUGAAUGAGAUCUCCAGUCCUGCAAAUGAUGCUGAUACGGUGCUGAAUAAUGAAGCGGAGAUCAUUGCACUGGCAUUUGGAGAAAUUUCCAAAACUCUGGAAAUGAAGAAACAGCAAUUGACAGAAGAUCUUGAAAAUCAAAGACGUAAAAAAGAGAAAGAGUUUCAGAUUUGGAAGAAAAUGAAAGAAACUCACAAGAAAACCAUUGAGAAUCUUUUGAACGAUUGUGAGAAACUAGUUCAUGAAUGCGAUCCUCAGCAAUUCCUGGAGGUGGCCUGUGGCUUGAAUACAAGAAUGAAAACUCAGCUUGACCUGAUGAAUAUAGCAUCUAGCUAUAAAAAGCCACCAGAGAGCACUCAGAAGAAAAUGGAUAUCAAACCUGUGGUUAAUGAAAUCUUGGCUUUGAAGUUAGUGCCACUUAAUGUAGACAUAAAUAAAGACCUACCUGCUGGAGGAAAUGAGAACUCAACAGAAAAUAUCAUGAAACAGUGGCAGGACCAGAAGAAUAUACCCAACUCAUUUCUUCCAGUAGCAGGACAUGAGGAAGCACUGACAGACAGUGGUAGGAUCUGUACUCGCCUAAUGUCAAUAUCAGAAAUGCCAGUGUUUCAAAACUUGAGUCACGAGGAGCUGCGUUACAGAUACUACAUGGAACAUCAGAAUCUUAAUAAGCUCAAGAUACAGACUUUACCUGCAAGUAAAAAGUAUGAGUUUGUGGCUGCUGAGGCUUUGAAGAAAAUGGUACUGACAAAACCGAAAAAGAAAAAAUGA